AGAUCCAAUUGAACCGCAGGCUUCACCCUUGUGGUGCUCCCCCGCCAAUUCCUUUAAGUUUCAUACUUGCGUACGUACUUCCCAGGCGGCAGACUUAACGGCUUCCCUGCGGCACUGCAUUGGCCACAAGCCAAUGCAUCACCGAGUCUGCAUCGUUUACAGCUGGGACUACCCGGGUAUCUAAUCCGGUUUGCUCCCCCAGCUUUCAUCCCUCACCGUCGAACGUGUUCUGGUACACCGCCUUCGCCACAGGUGGUCUUCAAUAGAUCAAAGGAUUUUACCCCUUCCUAUCGAGUACCGUGUACCUCUCCCACUCCCUAGCUGCACAGUAUUUUCGGCGGCCUAUACGCUAAGCGCAUAGAUUUAACCGAAAACUUAUGCAACCGGCUACGGAUGCUUUAGGCCCAAUAAACCUCCUGACCACUCGAGGUGCUGGUUUUACCGCGGCGGCUGACACCAGAACUUGCCCACCCCUUAUUCACCAGUGAUUCUACAACUGACAAAAGACUCCUUUAGCAGGAGACACUCGGAUUAACCUUGUCGUGCUUUCGCACAUUGCAAAGGUUUC
rnacentral:rRNA from 1 species